CCUCCUCUUUUCGUCCCAAACUAAAACCCCUCUCCAAGCUUCCCACUGGCCAUAAAUUCCUAAAUCUAACCCUCCAUAGGCCCAAAAAUUCCUAGUUUCUACCUUAAAACUUGGGUAGACACUUUCUCUUGCCCUAUCCAUGAUCAAAACCCACUCUUUCAUGAUCUUUACCAAACUCUUGAAAUCCUCAUUUCAAAAAUCCUAAACAAACACUUCUAAAUCCCUCUUUUCUCUUCAUUCCCAUUAACCUUUCACCCUAUUCCUCUCUUGACU
rnacentral:lncRNA from 1 species